AGCAUGACCCCCAGGAGGCCAAACAGGAUCCCUGCUCAGCCAUCCAGAGACAUGCUGCCUCUCAUGCCAUUUUGUUCAGCAGCAUAAGGCACCAUCUAAGGACAAAAUCAGUCAGAUCUGUUUCUCCGAUGAUGCCAUGGAUUUUCAAAAGACUCUGUUGAAGUAUUUUUGAGACACUGUGCAUUUAUCUGUGCAGAGAAGAAUUACAAUGUCUGUGAACUGCUUUUUGUCAUUCUCACAUUUAGAUUUUCAGAGAAGUUCAGCAUUCAGUGAAUAAACUUUAUGGUCUUCAGGGUUAUGUAUGGUCUAGCAGUGUAGCUAAGCAGUAGAUUUGCAAAACAAAACAAAUAAUGUUUAAGAUCCAGUGUCCCCGAUGUACACAUUUCAAGGGGAGUUUAAUUUAGAUUGGUCCUUGUGUUGCCCAUGAGCUUUGUCCCUUUUUGCAGUUGGUGUAUUUUCACAAUGCUUCCAGGGAAUAUAUCCCAGUUUAGUUCCAUCAUAAAGGAAUCUGGUUGGCAUUUUCCAAGGUGACUGCAUGAGCUGAACAAUCCUCUUUUAAAUGUGUAAACAGUUAUACUCCAGGCUACAGAAGAAACAGCAGUACCCAGAAUGAUUCAUUUUGCAGGAAAGUAAAACUAGCAGAAGUGUCAAUGAUCUUUCUUGUUGAUGUUUUCAAUUAAUUUAUUUGGAACCACUUGUCAGGAACUGUAUUUUUAGCUAGGUCUUCAUGAUAAAUUAAGAUGGAAAGGUCUGUAGGUCCUAGUACUGACAGGUAAAAGAGAUGGUGCUUUUUCCUUCUUGACAUUCUAGUUUUCCUCUUCUCUAUGUGCAACUGGUGUGCAGUGAAAGGAUGUUACUCAUGUUGUUAGAGGCCAUAUUUUCCCAUCCAACAUAAGAGUAUAUACUUCAGAGAAGCAGGAGUAACAGCAGGCUGUGAAGGAACCCAGUGGUGAUCAGGAGAAGUAACUGUGUCUCCAAAGGUCCAGUACCUUCCAGAUAACAUAACAAAACAUAACAACAACAAAUAUAUAUGUACAUAUAUAAAUAAUAAAAAAUAUCCCUGGAAAGUAUACUCUCGCCUGUCACACUCUAGUACAGCACCCUGUGCUGUCAAGUAAAUGUUUUUGCAAAUGUUACGUUUUCCUCAUCUCUUCAAUUGUUUUUUUCUUUCAGCUAUAUACUGUUAUCACAGAUGAUCUGAUUUCAAGGAACAAAAAAAUGUCUCUUUUUGUAAUAAAGCAG
ensembl:lncRNA